rnacentral:rRNA from 1 species
AUUGAACGCUGGCGGCAUGCUUUACACAUGCAAGUCGAACGGUAACAGGCCGCAAGGUGCUGACGAGUGGCGAACGGGUGAGUAAUGCAUCGGAACGUGCCCAGUCGUGGGGGAUAACGCAGCGAAAGCUGCGCUAAUACCGCAUACGAUCUAUGGAUGAAAGCGGGGGACCGUAAGGCCUCGCGCGAUUGGAGCGGCCGAUGGCAGAUUAGGUAGUUGGUGGGGGAAAGGCGCACCAAGCCAACGAUCUGUAGCUGGUCUGAGAGGACGACCAACCACACUGGGAAUGAGACACGGCCGAGACUCCUACGGGAGGCAGCAGUGGGGAAUUUUGGACAAUGGGCGCAAGCCUGAUCCAGCAAUGCCGCGUGCAGGAAGAAGGCCUUCGGGUUGUAAACUGCUUUUGUACGGAACGAAACGGUCCUGGUUAAUACCCGGGGCUAAUGACGGUACCGUAAGAAUAAGCACCGGCUAACUACGUGCCAGCCGCCGCCGUAACAC